rnacentral:rRNA from 1 species
GACGAACGCUGGCGGCGCGCUUAACACAUGCAAGUCGAACGGAAAGGCCUGCUUUCCCUUGUGGGUUGCGGGUACUCGAGUGGCGAACGGGUGAGUAACACGUGAGUUAUCUGUCCCCAACUUUUGUAUAAGCCUGGGAAACUGGGGCUAAUUCCCGAUAGGUCUGCAGGGUGGUUCCUGUGGUGGAAACCGAUUUUCUAGGGGUUGGGGAUGAGCUGGCGGCCUAUCAGCUAGUGGGUGGGGUAAUGGCUUACCAAGGCGGCGACGGGUAGCCGGCCUGGGAGGGUGGACGGCAGCGUUGGAACUGAGACACGGCCCAGACGCCUACGGGAGGCAGCAGUCGGGAGUAAUGAACAGGGGGUGGAAGCCUGAUGCAGGGACGCCGCGUGGGGGAUGACGGGCGUGGGGUUGUAAACUCCUUUCGACAGCGAGGAAGCCACCUGGUUGGAAGGGUGGUGACGGUAGUGGUAGAAGAAGCACCGGCUAACUACGUG